UGGGGAAUCUUGCACAAUGGGGGCAACCCUGAUGCAGCGACGCCGCGUGAGCGAUGAAGCCCUUCGGGGCGUAAAGCUCUUUCGACCGGAACGAUAAUGACGGUACCGGGAGAAGAAGCUGCGGCUAACUACGUGCCAGCAGCCGCGGUAAUACGUAGGCAGCAAGCCUUGUUCGGAGUUACUGGGCGUAAAGAGUGCGUAGGCGGUUUUCUAAGUUCGGUGUGAAAUCUCCCGGCUUAACUGGGAGGGUGCGCCGAAGACUGGGAAGCUGGAGUGUGGGAAAGGCAGGCGGAAUUCCUGGUGUAGCGGUGAAAUGCGUAGAUAUCAGGAGGAACACCGGCGGUGUAGACGGCUUGCUAAACCAUAACUGACGCUGAGGCACGAAAGCGUGGGUAGCAAACA
rnacentral:rRNA from 1 species